GGGUGAUUAGCUCAAUUGGUAGAGCAGCAGACUCUUAAUCUGUUGGCUGAAGGUUCGAGUCCUUCAUCACCCACCA
rnacentral:tRNA from 1 species